rnacentral:rRNA from 1 species
GACGAACGCUGGCGGCGUGCUUAACACAUGCAAGUCGAACGAUGAAGCGGUGCUUGCACCGUGGAUUCGUGGCGAACGGGUGAGUAAUACGUGAGUGACCUACCCUUGUCUCUUGGAUAAGCCUGCGAAACUGGGUCUAAUACCGGAUACGACCAAUCCCUCCAUGGGGUGUUGGUUGAAAGCGUUAUGGAGUGGUUUUAGAUGGGCUCACGGCCUAUCAGCUUGUUGGUGAGGUAAUGGCUUACCAAGGCGACGACGGGUAGCCGGCCUGAGAGGGUGACCGGCCACACUGGGACUGAGACACGGCCCAGACUCCUACGGGAGGCAGCAGUGGGGAAUAUUGCACAAUGGGCGCAAGCCUGAUGCAGCGACGCCGCGUGAGGGAUGACGGCCUUCGGGUUGUAAACCUCUGUUAGCAUCGAAGAAGCGAAAGUGACGGUAGGGGCAGAGAAAGCGCCGGCUAACUACGUG